UGUGAGGGCAGUAUGGCUAUGACAUCUGUCACUCUAUUGAUCGCCAGCGUUGAUUCAGCAGAUCUGGCUGGCUAGGCAGAGGUCCUCAUGCUUCCUCACUAC
rnacentral:snRNA from 1 species